rnacentral:rRNA from 1 species
UACGGAGGGUGCGAGCGUUGUCCGGAAUCACUGGGCGUAAAGGGCGCGUAGGCGGCGCGGGGAGUCAACGGUGAAAGCUCGGCGCUCAACGCCGAGUCGGCCGUCGAUACUCCCGUGCUCGAGCACUGUAGAGGCAGGUGGAAUUCCGGGUGUAGCGGUGGAAUGCGUAGAGAUCGGGAGGAACACCUGUGGCGAAAGCGGCUCACUGGACCACAACUGACGCUGAGGCGCGAAAGCUAGGGGAGCAAACAGG